rnacentral:lncRNA from 1 species
UCUAACAGAACCUGUUAUGAAUAACUAAUUAUUUAUUCCUCAAAAAAGAAUGGACUCUAGUGUUCUUCUGCUAUAUAUCCCUUCUUUCUCAGCACCAAAUGAUCAUCCACACAUUGUUCACGUGUGGAUUCCUUAAUAUUAUGAAGAAAGAAGGGAGAAAAAAGGUUGGAUCAGAGUACGGUUUUAUUUUCUUCUUCCAUGUCCGUAGCCAUGGCGCAAGGGGGCAUAGGGUCAAGAAAGUUAUAUAGGAAAAGACCCAAUUUGAUUUUUUGAUGCCAAAUUCCACUUUGGUAGAUAAAUAACCUAAUAUUAGGAGAAGGGAUAGAGGUGUUAAUUAUGGGUGAUUUUUUUUUAAAAAGUUAUUUUGGGUUUGG